CAACCCAGUAAAACUUCAGGUGCCCGGCUCUGUAGAGCCGGGAGAAUCGGGAAAGCGGUGCGACUCCGCUACGUGCCCAACGCUGUGAUGGGGAUUUCACAGACCGGCGGUUGUUUUACAGGCUGCCGCCAGCCACUGGACAUAGGAUUCGGGAAGGCGUCUGUGGAAGUGGAACCUGAGUCAGAAGACCGGCCUGAAGUGCAACCUCAUC
rnacentral:ncRNA from 1 species